GCCCAGCGUGUUGGCACACGCUUGUAGUCCCAGCUACUUGGGAGGCUGAGAUUGGGGGGAUUACUCGAGCCCAGGAGUUUGAGGCUGCAGUGAGCUAUGAUUGCACCACUGCACUCUGGCCUGGGCAACAGAGCUAGACCCUGUCUCUG
rnacentral:SRP_RNA from 1 species